GAUCCAGUGUGGUGUAGUGGUCUGAGUGCUAGAUUAUGACUCUGGAGAUCAGGGUUCGAUUCCCUGAUGGAGCA